CCAAUCCAGUGUGAUGAACGUCAAGCUCAUGCUCAUAAAGAUGAAGCCCAGAGCAGUGAAGCAGGCUGCCUGAAACACAAGAGCAGGAUCUUUUAAUGACUACAAACAUCUGACUUAAAGAAAUAUAAAACCAGGAAAGCUAUAUAGUCGGACAUCACCAUAUAACUCUGCCAACAAAGUGUCUCAUUACCGGGAAGAGCACAACAGGAACAGUCAGAGUCACAGCCACCAGCACUGCCAGACGCACACACAGGAUGAGAGUGUCCAGAGGAUCCACCUUGCUGUAGGUGUGUAGAAGUUCUGCUUCUGUGUUUA